rnacentral:rRNA from 1 species
AAACCGCUUCUCGGCAACGGAAUAUUCGGCUUUUGGCAUCGAAUAAAGACGUAGCGAAAUGCGAUACUUGGUGUGAAUUGCAGAAUCCCGUAACCCAUCGAGUCUUUGAACGCAAGUUGCGCCCCAAGCUUCUGGCCGAGGGCACGUCUGCCUGGG